rnacentral:rRNA from 1 species
GAUGAACGCUGGCGGCGUGCUUAACACAUGCAAGUCGAACGAAGACAUCUGAGUGCUUGCACUUGGAUGGACUGAGUGGCGGACGGGUGAGUAACGCGUGGGUAACCUGCCUCACACAGGGGGAUAGCAGUUGGAAACGACUGGUAAUACCGCAUAAGCGCACAGCUUCGCAUGAAGCGGUGUGAAAAACUCCGGUGGUGUGAGAUGGACCCGCGUCUGAUUAGGUAGUUGGUGAGGUAACGGCCCACCAAGCCGACGAUCAGUAGCCGACCUGAGAGGGUGACCGGCCACAUUGGGACUGAGACACGGCCCAGACUCCUACGGAGGCAGCAGUGGGGAAUAUUGGCA